rnacentral:rRNA from 1 species
AUACGUAGGGUGCAAGCGUUAAUCGGAAUUACUGGGCGUAAAGCGUGCGCAGGCGGUUUUGUAAGACAGAGGUGAAAUCCCCGGGCUCAACCUGGGAACUGCCUUUGUGACUGCAAGGCUAGAGUACGGCAGAGGGGGAUGGAAUUCCGGGUGUAGGAGUGGAAUGCGUAGAUAUGCGGAGGAACACCGAUGGCGAAGGCAAUCCCCUGGGCCUGUACUGACGCUCAUGCGCGAAAGCGUGGGGAGCAAACAGGAUUAGAUACCCUGGUAGUCCACGCCCUAAACGAUGUCAACUGGUUGUUGGGUCUUCAUUGACUCAGUAACGAAGCUAACGCGUGAAGUUGACCGCCUGGGGAGUACGGCCGCAAGGUUGAAACUCAAAUGAAUUGACGGGG